GACGAGGGGUGCAAACGUUAAUCGGAGUUACUGGGCGUAAAGGGCGCGUAGGUGGUUGUGUAAGUGAGACGUGAAAGCCCCGGGCUUAACCUGGGAAUGUCGUCCUAAACUGCAUGACUGGAGUACUGUAGAGGGUAGUGGAAUUUCCGGUGUAGCGGUGAAAUGCGUAGAGAUCGGAAGGAACACCAGUGGCGAAGGCGGCUACCUGGACAGAUACUGACACUGAGGCGCGAAAGCGUGGGGAGCGAACAGG
rnacentral:rRNA from 1 species